AUGUGAGAAUUGUUCGUAUUUUUAGCAAAACUCUAAAAAACAACAACACCUUGCCUCUUGGCAAGAUCAAGAAUCAAUAUGGGAACAGGAAAAAACCUCUGUAGCAACAAGAGCUGAUUUCUGAAACCAUUCUGUGGUGUAAAUAUUUGUGGUGGAUUCAAGACAACUGAACCUUUCAAAUUAUGAAUAAAGUUGAGAGGAAAGCCCAGAUCAGAUGUCCUAUCCAGGGUGAAUGGAGAAACAUGAUGGGACUGAGAUUCAUGUCCAGCUGAAAGUCUGCAUAGACCUCACACAUAUACAACCACAUGUGGAAAAUACAUUAUCCCUAUGACCAGGAACUGUUUUGCUAGAGUUCACAGUGAGUUGUAUGCAUGUAAGUAUCAUUAGGCAGACAUUCAACUGAAUGCACACAGGCUGGGAUGGUAGCUGCAUGCACUCAUCAUGCCUACCAGUGGACUGUGACCAAGAAAUGUUUAGGCAUUUAAGGGCAAGUUUGAAGGGUGUCAAUGUGACACUAGUUUUUCUCAAGUUUAUGAUCAUUUCCUCUAGUCCACAUUUCAUUUUCUGAUAAGAAUAUAAGAUGGUGCCAUGCCAAAGGAAGUAUCUUAAGGCUGCAUAUAUGAUUCCCACAUUUAUGUUUUCUCAGCAAUAAUGGAAUCAGAUCAGCCUUUGAAGACAACAACUCACAUGGAAUAACCCAGUUUGGCUCUUCAGUAUGUACUUAUUGGACUUAUGCAUAAACUUGUUCAUGGUCAAAUAUUGUUGAUUUAAUUGAGUGUUCAAAGGAUUAUCUCACAUUGGUCGUGAUAUGCAGGAAUAGAUAUUCUAAAAUUAUUUAUAUGCUGUCUUUCAACCCUUAAAAAAGCCACCCAGGCAUCUCACAUAAAAGCAAUAGAAAUACAUUAAAACCCUGGAGCGUUAAAAUCGAGAUGUGGAAAAUAUGGAAACAAUGAGGAGAAGCAGGACUAAGAUGUGGAGAUUUGCUUCAGAGAUCCGGACUGUGGGGAUCUCCAAAAAAUUAAUAAAUAUAAUUCUGAUUAUAAUUUGGUCUUUUUUAUUUUAGUUUUUUUAUUUUAAUUGAAGUAUUAUGAUUGGAUAUAUUAAUUGGAUGUUUCUUAUUGGAAAAUCAAUAAAAAUGAUUUU